AGUGAACGCUGGCGGUAGGCCUAACACAUGCAAGUCGAACGGCAGCACAGUAAGAGCUUGCUCUUACGGGUGGCGAGUGGCGGACGGGUGAGGAAUACAUCGGAAUCUACUUUUUCGUGGGGGAUAACGUAGGGAAACUUACGCUAAUACCGCAUACGACCUACGGGUGAAAGCAGGGGAUCUUCGGACCUUGCGCGAUUGAAUGAGCCGAUGUCGGAUUAGCUAGUUGGCGGGGUAAAGGCCCACCAAGGCGACGAUCCGUAGCUGGUCUGAGAGGAUGAUCAGCCAAAAUGGAACUGAGACACGGGCCAGACUCCUAAGGGAGGGAGCAGUGGGGAAAAUUGGACAAAGGGCGGAAGGCUGAACCAGCCAUAACGGGUGGGUGAAGGAGGCCUUCGGGUUGUAAAGCCCUUUUGUUGGGAAAGAAAAGGAGCAGGUUAAAACCCCGCUGUUCUGAAGGUAACCAAAGAAUAAGCAACGGCUAAAUUCGUG
rnacentral:rRNA from 1 species